UACGAGGGGGGCGAGCGUUGUUCGGAAUUAUUGGGCGUAAAGGGUGCGUAGGCGGUUCCGCAAGUCCUGUGUGAAAUCUUCGGGCUCAACUCGAAGUCUGCACGGGAAACUGCGGGGCUUGAGUGUGGGAGAGGUGAGUGGAAUUCCCGGUGUAGCGGUGAAAUGCGCAGAUAUCAGGAGGAACACCAAUGGCGAAGGCAGCUCGCUGGGACGGUACUGAUGUUGAGACGCGAAAGCGUGGGGAGCAAACAGG
rnacentral:rRNA from 1 species